UUGCCCUGGUGGGUGGGCAUCCCUCUGUCGCCCACCAUGCUGGACAUCUUCAUCCUCAUGUUCUUCGCCAUCAUCGGGCUGGUGGUCCUCUCCUACAUCAUCUACCUGCUGUAGCGCCCCGAAGGAAGGAUGCGGCCGGCCCGCCCGCCUCCAUGGACCCUUUGACCUUUGCCCCCCACCAGGCCUUUUCUGGGUCCUGCCAAGCCCCUCCUCGGGGGGGGGGUGGCUGACCCCUGCCAGGGGCGGGAGGAAACCUGCGUUUUUCCAGCGGCCCCUGGGUCAGCCUGGACGUCCGGCCUCCUCAGCCCGCGGUGACUCCAGGUGCGGAAAGCCGGCAGCAGCUGCUUCUCGUUUCCAGAAGCUUCUGGAGACCAUUGACCGCUGCAAGCAAGUGAGCUAGAGGGGGGCAAUGGAGAAGACCCCGGCCGCUCCUCAGGGUGGGCAGCGGGGCUCACGCGGGGCCCUGGCAAGAUGGUCAGCAAAAGUCACAGUGGGAUGGAGAGCCGGGGGGGUGGUGUCUGGCACUUUGAAGGGACCAGGGGAUGCUGAUGGAAAGGAAAUUUAGUUUGACCCCUGGACGGGUCUGUUUACUUAGGGGACAAGGAGUGGGGGAGUGAUGGGAGGAAGGGAGGCAGUCAAAUUGAAAUAAAAUCCUAUUUUGGUCUUUC